rnacentral:rRNA from 1 species
UACGGGGGAUGCAAGCGUUAUCCGGAUUUAUUGGGUUUAAAGGGUGCGUAGGCUGUGAGGUAAGUCAGCGGUGAAAUGCCCCCGCUCAACGGGGUGAAGUGCCAUUGAUACUGCCUUGCUGGAAUGCGGAUGCCGUGGGAGGAAUGUGUGGUGUAGCGGUGAAAUGCAUAGAUAUCACGCAGAACUCCGAUUGCGAAGGCAGCAUACCGGCGCCCUACUGACGCUGAGGCACGAAAGCGUGGGUAUCGAACAGG